AGAGUUUGAUCCUGGCUCAGGAUGAACGCUGGCGGCGUGCCUAACACAUGCAAGUCGAACGGAGAUUACGGACGGAAGUUUUCGGAUGGAAGACUGUAAUUCUUAGUGGCGGACGGGUGAGUAACGCGUGGGCAACCUGCCCUAUACAGGGGGAUAGCAGCUGGAAACGGCUGGUAAGACCGCAUAAGUCGGCGAGACCGCAUGGUUUUGUCGGGAAAUGAGCAAUCAGGUAUAGGAUGGGCCCGCGUCCGAUUAGCCAGUUGGCAGGGUAAAAGCCUACCAAAGCAACGAUCGGUAGCCGGACUGAGAGGUCGGACGGCCACAUUGGGACUGAGACACGGCCCAAACUCCUACGGGAGGCAGCAGUGGGGAAUAUUGCACAAUGGGGGAAACCCUGAUGCAGCGACGCCGCGUGAGUGAAGAAGUAUUUCGGUAUGUAAAGCUCUAUCAGCAGGGAAGAUAAUGACAGUACCUGACUAAGAAGCCCCGGCUAACUACGUGCCAGCAGCCGCGGUAAUACGUAGGGGGCAAGCGUUAUCCGGAUUUACUGGGUGUAAAGGGAGCGUAGACGGAAUGGCAAGUCUGAAGUGAAAUACCCGGGCUCAACCUGGGAACUGCUUUGGAAACUGUUGUUCUAGAGUGUUGGAGAGGUAAGUGGAAUUCCUGGUGUAGCGGUGAAAUGCGUAGAUAUCAGGAAGAACACCGGAGGCGAAGGCGGCUUACUGGACAAUAACUGACGUUGAGGCUCGAAAGCGUGGGGAUCAAACAGGAUUAGAUACCCUGGUAGUCCACGCUGUAAACGAUGAAUACUAGGUGUCGGGGUGCAAAGCAUCUCGGUGCCGUCGCUAACGCAAUAAGUAUUCCACCUGGGGAGUACGUUCGCAAGAAUGAAACUCAAAGGAAUUGACGGGGACCCGCACAAGCGGUGGAGCAUGUGGUUUAA
rnacentral:rRNA from 1 species